rnacentral:rRNA from 1 species
GACGAACGCUGGCGGCGUGCUUAACACAUGCAAGUCGAACGCGCCUGUCCUCUGGGUUUCUGGGGGGUGGGUGAGUGGCGAACGGGUGAGUAACACGUGAGUAACCUGCCCCCUUCUUCGGGAUAACGGUCUGAAAGGGCUGCUAAUACCGGGUAUUCACUGGUCUCCGCAUGGGGUCUGGUGGAAAGGUUUUUUUCUGGUGGGGGAUGGGCUCGCGGCCUAUCAGCUUGUUGGUGGGGUGAUGGCCCACCAAGGCUUUGACGGGUAGCCGGCCUGAGAGGGUGACCGGUCACAUUGGGACUGAGAUACGGCCCAGACUCCUACGGGAGGCAGCAGUGGGGAAUAUUGCACAAUGGGCGAAAGCCUGAUGCAGCGACGCCGCGUGAGGGAUGGAGGCCUUCGGGUUGUGAACCUCUUUCGCCCGUGGUCAAGCCGCGACGUGGGUCGUGGUGAGGGUAGUGGGUAAAGAAGCGCCGGCUAACUACGUG